rnacentral:rRNA from 1 species
GACGAACGCUGGCGGCGUGCUUAACACAUGCAAGUGGAGCGACGAACCGGGCUUCGGCCCGGGGCAAAGCCGCGAACGGGUGAGUAUCACGUGGGUAACCUGCCCCGAUGACCGGGAUAACCCGAGGAAACUCGGGCUAAUACCGGAUGUGCUCCCAAUCCACCAGGGUUGGGAACAAAGGAAGCUUCGGCCUCCGCAUUGGGAUGGGCCCGCGGCCCAUUAGCUUGUUGGUGAGGUAACGGCUCACCAAGGCGACGAUGGGUAGCUGGUCUGAGAGGACGAUCAGCCACACUGGGACGGAGACACGGCCCAGACUCCUACGGGAGGCAGCAGUGGGGAAUCUUGCGCAAUGCGCGAAGGCGUGACGCAGCAACGCCGCGUGAGGGAAGAAGGCCUUCGGGUUGUAAACCUCUUUCAGGAGGGACGAAGGUUCAGGCGCGAACAGCGUCCUGGACUGACGGUACCUCCAGAAGAAGCCCCGGCUAACUACGUGCCAGCCGCCGCGGUAAAAC